UUUUUCAGGUGGGUAGUAGAUACCCCUAAUUCUACUGUUGGACACUUGUCCAUUUUUUCCGCUCAAGUGGGCAUCUUUGUACCCCUAAUUCUACUCCGGACACUUGUCCAUUUUUACCUCUCGUCUCACUCUUUUUCUUUCUUUUCCGAGGUUCCGGGCACUUGCCCCUUUUUAUUUCCUCGCAUAUUUUUGCAUAACCCAUGCCUCUUCUGCAUUGAAUCUUUUU
rnacentral:lncRNA from 1 species